CCUACGGGUGGUAGCAGUAGGGAAUAUUGCUCAAUGGGGGAAACCCUGAAGCAGCAACGCCGCGUGGAGGAUGAAGGUUUUCGGAUUGUAAAAUCCUUUUGUUAGAGAAGAUAAUGACGGUAUCUAACGAAUAAGCACCGGCUAACUCCGUGCCAGCAGCCGUGGUAAUACGGAGGGUGCAAGGGUUACUCGGAAUCACUGGGCGUAAAGGGCGCGUAGGCGGGAUAGCAAGUCAGACGUGAAAUCCUAUGGCUUAACCAUAGAACUGCAUUGGAAACUGGUAAUCUAGAGUAUGGGAGAGGCAGGUGGAAUUCGUGGUGUAGGGGUAAAAUGCUUAGAGAUCAAGAGGAAUACUCAUUGCGAAGGCGACCUGCUAGAGCAUAACUGACGCUGAUGCGCGAAAGCGUGGGUAGCGAACAGGAUUAGAUACCCUUGUAGUC
rnacentral:rRNA from 1 species